UCAUUAAUUACUCACCCCCAUGCUGUACCAACCCCGUAAGACCUUUGUUCAUCAUCGGAACACAAAUGAAGAUAUUUCUGAUUAAAUUUGACAGCUGGAUCACUGCUACAUAGGCUUCGUAAGGGAAUGAAACUUGACGGCCCAGAAAGUCAUUAAAGAAAAUGUUUAAAUAUUCCAUGUGCCUACAGUGGCUCAACUAUAAGUUUAUCAAGCGACGAGAAUACUUUUUGUGCGAAAAAACCCCAUAAAUAACGACUUUAUUCGACUAUUCCAUUACUUCCUUGUGGGCCUGAGACGAGAGUUCAAGAGAUUUCCACGACGCAUGCGCGAGAACUGAACAAGAAGUAGUAGAAGAAGAACGUCCUCUUCUCAGUUCUCGCGCAUGCGCCCACAAGGAAGUAAUGGAAUAGUCAAAUAAAGUCGUUAUUUAUGUGUUUUUUUCGCACAAAAAGUAGUCUCGUCGCUUGAUAAACUUAUAGUUGAGCCGCUGUAGGCACAUGGAAUAUUUAAACAUUUUCUUUAA